GACGAACGCUGGCGGCGUGCUUAACACAUGCAAGUCGAACGGACAGGCCCCUUUGGGGGUACUCGAGUGGCGAACGGGUGAGUAACACGAGAGUAACCUGCCCUUGACUUCGGGAUAACUUUAGGAAACUGGGGCCAAUACUGGAUAGGAAUACUUGCUGCAUGGUGGGGGUUGGAAAGCUUAGGCGGUUUUGGCUGGACUCGCGGCUUAUCAGCUUGUUGGUGUGGUAGUGGCUUACCAAGGCUUUGACGGGUAGCCGGCCUGAGAGGGCGACCGGCCACAUUGGGACUGAGAGACGGCCCAGACUCCUACGGGAGGCAGCAGUGGGGAAUAUUGCAGAAUGAGCGGAAGCCGGAUGCAGCAACGCCGCGUGCGGGAUGACGGCCUUCGGGUUGUAAACCGCUUUCAGCAGGGGCGAAGCUUGUGGUGACGGUACCUGCAGAAGAAGCACCGGCUAACUACGUG
rnacentral:rRNA from 1 species